rnacentral:lncRNA from 11 species
GGAAGAGUGACAACCAAUAUUAAAGGGUGGACCUUCCAUGUCACUCUGGUUUCAAACUGGCAAAUGACAGCGGUUCAUUUUUCUUGCCAUGGAGGAGACUCCAUCCAUCUUUGACGUCAUGAGGAUUACCCAGCCAACAAAGAC